GAAGAAGCCUGGGGUGGAGGUAAUUCCUCGGGUGCUUCUGGUGGGGUUUCCUUUGGAGGAGCCCGGAAAAAAGGAGGUGGACUGGUUCCAUUAUUUGACUUAGAUAAGGGUGGAGGUGGACUGGUUUCAUUAUUUGAUAUAGAUACACCAGGAAGUGGUGAUGGUGUUACUGGAUUUUGAGUUGCCGGUGGUGGUACGGGUGAUGGUAUAAGAUUGUUAGUCGGCGGUGGUGGUGCAGAUGGUGGAUCUAGAGGAAGUAUAGCUUGUACAACUCUACCCUCAAAUGUCAACUGAGCUUGACUGGCUGACGCCUGAAGCUCUCUUCUUCCUCUACUGUCUUUUACUUGAACAGCAUCACAUGAAAAGGACUCCUUGUUGCAUAAUGAUCCUUCAGCUGUAUUAGAAAGCUGGUUCUCAUCAACUUGAAACUCAGAAAGUAGUUGAAGCCGAUAAAUUUCAGGAGAUAAGGU
rnacentral:misc_RNA from 1 species